UACGUAGGAGACGAGCGUUGUCCGGAGUUACUGGGCGUAAAGGGUGCGCAGGUGGCGGCGCGCGUGGGGGGUGAAAUCGCCCGGCUUAACUGGGCGGGGGCCUUCCAGACGGCGUGGCUUGAGCAGCGGAGGGGGACGUGGAAUUCCGGGUGGAGCGGUGAAAUGCGUAGAUAUUGGGAAGAACACCAGUGGCGAAAGCGGACUUCUGGGUUGUUACUGACGCUGAGGUACGAAAGCGUGGGGAGCAAACGGG
rnacentral:rRNA from 1 species